rnacentral:rRNA from 1 species
GAAGAGUUUGAUCAUGGCUCAGAUUGAACGCUGGCGGCAUGCCUAACACAUGCAAGUCGAACGAGAAGGUAGCUUCGGUUACUGGACAGUGGCGGACGGGUGAGUAACACGUGGGAAUAUGCCUUUCGGUAGAGAACAACGCUUGGAAACGAGUGCUAAUACUCUAUACGCCCUCCGGGGGAAAGAUUUAUCGCCGAGAGAUUGGCCCGCGUUAGAUUAGCUAGUUGGUGAGGUAAUGGCUCACCAAGGCGACGAUCUAUAGCUGGUUUGAGAGGAUGAUCAGCCACACUGGGACUGAGACACGGCCCAGACUCCUACGGGAGGCAGCAGUGGGGAAUAUUGGACAAUGGGGGAAACCCUGAUCCAGCCAUGCCGCGUGAGUGAAGAAGGCCUUAGGGUUGUAAAGCUCUUUCAGUCGUGAAGAUGGUGACUGUAGCGACAGAAGAAGCCCCGGCUAACUCCGUGCCAGCAGCCGCGGUAAUACGGAGGGGGCUAGCGUUGUUCGGAUUUACUGGGCGUAAAGCGCACGUAGGCGGAUCGAUCAGUCAG